rnacentral:lncRNA from 1 species
UUUGAGCCUUCCAAAGCAAAUAGUUGGAGGUCGUAAGUUUCACAGUAAUAAAUUGUGAAAUAUUCGGCAUGGAGGUAGGAAUUGGGGAAGUAUUCGGCAUGGAGGUAGGAAUUGGGGAAGCGCCCGAAACAUUAGUUCCAGAAGCAGAGGAUGUAGUUUCUGACAUUUUGAAAGAUUAAGAAGAAGAAGAUCUGAUCAAAGGAGGGAAGAAUUUGAUAGAGAAAGAAUUUGAUAGGUGGCUAAAGAGCCCUUUAAUGCUCUGAUACCAUGAAACAGUUUGAUAUAUUCGAGAUACUUUUUGUAUAUUUAAUGAUCAGGUAUGUACACACUUAUAUACUUGUACAAAUAGAGAGAUUAGGCG